AAGUUAAUGUUUAAUGGUUAGGGCCGGAAACUAUAUGCAGGCUAAAAAACAAAAGGUUUGCUUAGUAUUUGUAAACUGCAAAUGGCCAGCAACGUGACGCAUUUGUACGUUGUGAAAUAAACGUGGCACGUGGGCCCCACUAAUUUGCCUCAUGUAACAGAAAGAAAGAUAAACCAAGUUUCUAUUCUAUUCAAUGAAGUUUCUCCAGAAAAGUAUACUACUUCAAUACGUGUUAGGAUCAAGUUUAUUUUAUGUUUGAACCUUCUGAAGCCGAUACAUUUGCUAGCAUGCUGGAAAGACUAAUAGCCGAAAAUUCUCUCACAGCCAACCAGCUUGCUCUACAUGGGAGUCAAAGGACACUGUCAGUGAUGUAACUGCUCAACUUGGCUUUGCAAUGCUGUCAACUUAAUGGAAGAUUUGUUCAGUAUGUGUUCCAUCCUAACAAGAAAGCAGUAUCUAUGGACUUUCUGUUGUUGUAAGAGAGCAAAGACUACUGCGUGUAGGACAGUGACAAAUCAGAAAGGCCAGAAUAUCAACAUAGAGCUACGAUGGAAUAGUGGCCUCCCAGAGUCUCUGGUUGAUUCAACAAACUGCUGGGCUGAGGUCACUAUAUUUUUGGGGAUACCCUGCAGUAGAGAGGUACUUCAAUACCGAAAGGUUUCAAGGCACUAAUUUUCAAAGCAAUACCUCGCAAGCCAAAACUUACUGAGUACGCUGAAGAAAAGAAGACAGAAGAAUACCGAAGAAUACCCCUCCUCUCUACACCCCUACACAUCACCGCCCUCGUAAAUGUUAUUGGCUGUUCUGGCUAUAUAUACACUCUUGUAUGCCUCACCAGCUUCUCUCCAUCUAAGACUGUCUGAUUAGAGUGCUAAACUAAUCAUAAUUAUAGCUGUAAUAAUCAUUUUUAUCGUGUAAGUUUUUGUUAAUGUUGUUCGGUUUGAUCCCACUCGUUUUACACUUAGAAAGCAACUGGCAGUGCUGUGGAGUGUUUUGCUGUCUCCAAGUGUAUGUAAUUAUACUUAAUGAAUUGGAAAUUGAAA